CCAAUAGCGUAUAUUAAAGUUGUUGCAGUUAAAAAGCUCGUAGUUGAAUUUCGGGGUUUAUCCGUCGGUCGGGCUUUUGGGUCUGUACUGGCGUGAUAGAUUCCUACCUUCUGAAUAACCGGCAUGUCAUUAAUUUGGUGCGCCGGGGAAGCAGGACUGUUACCUUGAAAAAAUUAGAGUGCUUAAAGCAGGCUUAUGCCUGAAUACAUUAGCAUGGAAUAAUGAAAUAGGACGGCGUGGUUCUAUUUUGUUGGUUUCUAGGAUCACCGUAAUGAUUAAUAGGGAUAGUUGGGGGCAUUAGUAUUCAAUUGUCAGAGGUGAAAUUCUUGGAUUUAUUGAAGACUAACUUCUGCGAAAGCAUUUGCCAAGGAUGUUUUCAUUAAUCAAGAACGAAAGUUAGGGGAUCGAAGACGAUCAGAUACCGUCGUAGUCUUAACCAUAAACUAUGCCGACUAGGGAUCGGACGAUGUUAAUUUUUUAAUGACUCGUUCGGCGCCUUACG
rnacentral:rRNA from 1 species